GAUCCGGUGUCGAUUAACAUGCGUUUACAGCAUUUAUUUAUUCAUCAUUAGUCGUGAUGGCUUAAACGAUUCUGCUAGGUGCUUAUAUUUUGGGAAUGAGAACCAACUAAAUUUGUUAGAAAAUGUAACAGGCAGGUACAAACAAAAAUAAUAACUGUGUGAGCAGGAUUUCAAAACGAAAAGAAAGAAAGAAAGAAAGAAAGAAAGAAAGAAAGAAAGAAAGAAGAAAGAAAGAAAGAAAUUACUAAGUAAGCAAAGAAAGAAAGAAAGAAAGAAAGAAAGAAGAAAUUACUAAGUAAGCAAAGAAAGAAAGAAAGAAAGAAAGAAGUUGCUAAGAAAGAAAGAAAGAAAGAAGUUACUAAGAACGAAAGAAAGAAAGAAGUUACUAAGAACGAAAGAAAGAAAGAAGUUACUAAGAACGAAAGAAAGAAGUUACUAAGUAAGCAAAGAAGAAAGAAAGAAAGAAGUUACUAAGAACGAAAGAAAAGAAAGAAAAAGAAAGAAAGAAAGAAAGAAAGAAAGAAAGAAAGAAAGAAAGAAGUUACUAAGAACAAAAGAAAGAAGUUACUAAGUAAGCAAAGAAAGAAAGAAAGAAAGAAGUUGCUAAGAAAGAAAGAAAGAAAGAAGUUACUAAGAACGAAAGAAAGAAGUUACUAAGUAAGCAAAGAAGAAAGAAAGAAGUUACUAAGAAAGAAAGAAAGAAAGAAAGAAAGAAGUUGCUAAGAACGAAAGAAAGAAGUUACUAAGAAAGAAAGAAAGAAAGAAAGAAAGAAGUUGCUAAGAAAGAAAGAAAGAAAGAAAGAAAGAAAGAAGAAGUUACUAAGAAAGAAAGAAGUUACUAAGUAAGCAAAGAAAGAAAGAAAGAAAGAAGUUGCUAAGAAAGAAAGAAAGAAAGAAAGAAAGAAGUUACUAAGAAAGAAGAAAGAAAGAAAGAAAGAAGUUGCUAAGAACGAAAGAAAGAAGUUACUAAGAAAGAAAGAAAGAAAGAAAGAAAGAAGUUACUAAGAAAGAAAGAAAGAAGUUACUAAGUAAGCAAAGAAAGAAAGACAGAAGUAGAGAUCUCGGUAUAAUCCCUGACGAGAGAUCAAGUAAAAUACACCUGCUUCCUAUAAUAAUGAUGAUAUAAAAAGGCGUGUGGAAUUUAAGAUCAGAUCUCAUGGUAUGGACAGGUUUAGGGAUGAGGUUUCAGGUUUACGCUCGGGCGCUGUGAACGAGUCACUCUCACUGUGCACUCGGGUGUGGUGUGUAGAGCAGCAGGGGUAACACACAACGUGUGUGGUGUGUGCUCAUGGUUAAUGUGGCAUGACGCAGGAGAGAGAGAGAGCGAGAGAGAGCGAGAGCGAGCGAGAGAGUCGGGCUUGUUGGUUGAGGUGUAAUUGGGAGAGGAGAUACACACACGUGACUGUAAGACCAUGUGUACAUCUGAUCAGUUCAGGUUGUAAGGUUUUAAUUACAUGUGUAGUCAGAUAUAUCACCGCUGAACUGAACUCUGUUUUAUUUGCUGUACCGCAUGUAAUAUGCAGUUCAGCGCUGGUCCAGGUACUGUACUUAAAAAUGGUUUCCACAUCAAUAUAUUUUUUGCUUCAUUAAAGACACCAAUUUGAUGUCAAUUUGAGCAGAUACUGUACGCUGUGACAAUGCACUGAACGCUGUUUAAAAUAUGAUGUAUGAGGAGGGGUUUUGGUGAUGAUGUCAUGUAUGAGGAGGGGUUUUGGUGAUGAUGUCAUGUAUGAGGAGGGGUUUUGGUGAUGAUGUCAUGUAUGAGGAGGGGUUUUGGUGAUGAUGUCAUGUAUGAGGAGGGGUUUCGGUGAUG
ensembl:lncRNA